rnacentral:lncRNA from 1 species
GGAGCUCACAUGGCUUCAGGUUUCAAAAGGGUCGCUGGAAUUCAACUCUCGAUCAACCACUUGAAGAGUGCUGAUCUCGGAGACCUUGUAUUCGCCGAAGCAUCUCCUGUAAGCACAGGCAAAACCAUUCAGGUUUGGGAAGUCAAGCUUUGGAAAACAACAAAAGGAUCAGAGAAAGCUAACAAAAGCUUAAUAUCUUCCUCUAGAGUCACACUUCUUUGCAAUCUUCCUAUCCCUGAACACGCCAAAGAUGCAUCAGACCCGCUCAAACUGAUCUCCAAGUUGUAGAUUUCAAUGCUUUGUUCUCUCUCUCUCUCUAUCUAUGAUUGAGUUUACUUGUAUGUAACUAUGUAUCAUCUUCUAAAAAAAUUAACCUUUUGGGUGAUAAUAAGCUAAAAGUGGCAAAAGACAAGUCAACCGUCGUUGUCCUUGAUGUGCAGAAUCUACCGGAAUAUCAAGCGUGGAGCAUCUUUCCUUAUAUUUAAAAAAAACCCCAAAUUUUUGCGAAUAUAGUUCACAAGUAGCAAUAGCAAUCUAGUCUGUGAUUUGUUAGGCCUGGAAAAAGGAUGAAACUUUAACCUCAUGUGCUUACCUCAGAUUUGUGAGGACAGCUUGUGUCUGUAGACAAACAAUGUUGUCAGAUCUCAAUCAAGUUCUAGGAGUUUGAAUGCUUGUCGGGUGCAUCAUUUGCAGGGUGACCACCAAAAAUCCUGCACCUUUUGUAACAAAUAAGAAACAUCAGGCAUAAACACAAUGAAGAGAGCAUAACAAUGUGGCAAGCAAUUGAACACAAGAUAGAGAUGCUAUAAUAGGAUCUAAUUACAACAAACUUGAGUUUUGGUGAUUUUCAUGUCUAAGCGACAUCAAAGUCUAUUCAAGCAACAAAUAUCAAAUAAUGAUCUCUUAUCAUAUUCCAAUACAUGGCAGGAAACUACCCGAAAGAUGCAGCUUUGAUCGGUGCUUAGGGCUACAAUAGCUCAGCGAGAGAAUAAAUUAGGAACCAAUAAUAAUCUGGGAUUUAUCAAAUUGUGGGCUCACGAGAGAAGAAGAACCAGUUUUUUUUCAGAUUGGAUUAAAUUAGGAGUUUUUACCAUUGAAGGAUGACGAAGAAGAAAGACAGAUAAUGCCCAAUAAGACAAAAUUGAAGAAUGCAGAGAGAUCAUGCUCAACAUUCAACAUCACCUUCGAGUUCUUCUCUCAAUCUUCUCUACGCAGUUCCAGCGACUAUUGUAAAAUUAUAAGGGUGCUCAAUCCGGUUUAACCCAUCCCAGAAUUGAGCCGAAAUCGUACAAGAACACCGCAAUUCUUGAAAUUGAUUUCUCAAGAACCGAAUUCAACCGAAACUAAAAGGUAUUCCCUUUACGUAAACCGAACAAUUCGAAUCAAACCGAUACGAAAACCGGAUUUGGUGUGGUGGUUCUUGGUAUAGAAAGGAGUGGAUCGUAUUACACAUUGUCUCUCUCUGUGAAACACAGCACACAAAUGGAUUCUGCUUCUCCAUCGUCCAAGACCAAAGCUUUAGCCCCUCCGCUUCAUAUCUUAGGUUUCGAGAUCGAUGAGUUAUCUCCAACUCGUGUCACAGGUCGUUUUCCCGUUUCUCUAAUCUGCUGCCAGGUUUUCAUCUUCUUAUUGUUCGUCUUCAAUUUGAUCAUUAACCCAUUUUCCCACCAAAUUCUGAGAAAAUUUUCAAUUUUUUCCCUCUCAAAGCCUUUCAAGGUCUUACACGGUGGUGUAUCUGCUUUGAUCGCUGAGUCUUUAGCAAGUAUAGGAGCUUACGUGGCUUGUGGUUUCCAAAGGAUCGCUGGAGUUCAACUCUCCAUCAACCACUUGAAAAGUGCUGAUCUUGGAGACCUUGUCUUCGCCGAAGCAUCUCCUGUAAGCACAGGCAAAACCAUUCAGGUUUGGGAAGUCAAGCUUUGGAAAACAACAAAAGGGUCAGAGAACGCUAACAAAAGCUUAAUAUCUUCCUCUAGAGUCACAGUUCUCUGCAAUCUUCCUAUCCCUGAUCACGCCAAAGAUGCAUCAGACCCGCUUAGACUGAUCUUCUCGAAGCUGUAGAUUUCAAAGCUUUGUUCUCUCUCUAUGAUUGAGUUUAGUUGU